rnacentral:rRNA from 1 species
UACAGAGGUCCCGAGCGUUGUUCGGAUUCACUGGGCGUAAAGGGUGCGUAGGCGGGUCGAAAAGUCCGCUGUGAAAGCCCGAGGCUUAACCUCGGCGGGUCGGUGGAUACUUUCGGUCUUGAAGGUGCUAGGGGGAGAUGGAAUUACCGGUGUAGCGGUGAAAUGCGUAGAUAUCGGUAGGAACACCAGUGGCGAAGGCGGUCUCCUGGGGCAUUCUUGACGCUGAGGCGCGAAAGCUGGGGGAGCGAACGGG